UACGAAGGGGCUAGCGUUGCUCGGAAUCACUGGGCGUAAAGCGCACGUAGGCGGACUCUUAAGUCGGUGGUGAAAUCCUGGAGCUCAACUCCAGAACUGCCUUCGAUACUGAGAGUCUCGAGUCCGAGAGAGGUGAGUGGAACUGCGAGUGUAGAGGUGAAAUUCGUAGAUAUCGGGAGGAACACCGGUGGCGAAGGCGGCGACCUGGGUAGAUACUGACGCUGAGGUGCGAAAGCGUGGGGAGCAAACAGG
rnacentral:rRNA from 1 species